rnacentral:rRNA from 1 species
AUGGCGGCGAGCCUGUGGCGAGAGGCGAUGGGCGCCGGCGCCCCGGCCGCGGACGCGGACUUCCUGGACUACAUCGAGUUCUGGCACCAGCCCGAGUGCGCGGGGUGGCUGGACAAGCAGGGGGAGCACACCAAGACGUGGCGCCGGCGGUGGUUCGUGCUCAAGCAGGGGAUGCUCUUCUGGUUCAAGGACUCGGACGUCGACCACGCGUCCGUGCCCCGCGGCGUCAUCUUCCUCGCCUCCUGCCUCGCCGUCAAGGGCGCCGAGGGCGUGCUCGACCGCAAGUUCGCCUUCGAGCUCUCCACCCCGGGCGAGACCAUGUACUUCGCCGCCGACUCCGAGGAGCACAAGGAGGAGUGGAUCAACUCCAUUGUCCUCCCACUUGCCGCUCCUGCAGGGACCACAUGGGAUGAAAUUUAUGACAAGGUGGACAUGCUGCGCGCAGGGUUUGGAGCAGAAGGUUUAGAUCCUUAG